rnacentral:rRNA from 1 species
UGGGGAAUAUUGGACAAUGGGGGAAACCCUGAUCCAGCAAUGCCGCGUGAGUGAAGAAGGCCUUAGGGUUGUAAAGCUCUUUCGCCCGCGAAGAUAAUGACGGUAGCGGGAGAAGAAGCCCCGGCUAACUCCGUGCCAGCAGCCGCGGUAAUACGGAGGGGGCUAGCGUUGUCCGGAAUUACUGGGCGUAAAGCGUACGUAGGCGGAUGCGCAAGUUGGGGGUGAAAUCCCGGGGCUUAACCUCGGAAUUGCCCUCAAAACUGCACGUCUUGAGACCGAGAGAGGUAAGGGGAAUUCCUAGUGUAAAGGUGAAAUUCGUAGAUAUUAGGAAGAACACCUGUGGCGAAGGCGCCUUACUGGCUCGGUACUGACGCUGAGGUACGAAAGCGUGGGGAGCAAACA